GAGUUUGAUCUUGGCUCAGAUUGAACGCUGGCGGCAUGCCUUACACAUGCAAGUCGAACGGCAGCACGGGAGCUUGCUCCUGGUGGCGAGUGGCGAACGGGUGAGUAAUGCAUCGGAACGUAUCCUGGAGUGGGGGAUAACGUAGCGAAAGUUACGCUAAUACCGCAUAUUCUGUGAGCAGGAAAGCGGGGGACCUUCGGGCCUCGCGCUCUUGGAGCGGCCGAUGUCGGAUUAGCUAGUUGGUGAGGUAAAGGCUCACCAAGGCGACGAUCCGUAGCAGGUCUGAGAGGAUGAUCUGCCACACUGGAACUGAGACACGGUCCAGACUCCUACGGGAGGCAGCAGUGGGGAAUUUUUGGACAAUGGGGGCAACCCUGAUCCAGCCAUGCCGCGUGAGUGAAGAAGGCC
rnacentral:rRNA from 1 species